rnacentral:lncRNA from 1 species
UCGGAUCGGGGAACUCCCCCGAGAGCCGGUCUCUACUCGUCAUGCAAAAAAAAAAAGACUUGGGCGUCUCUAGGAGCCCGAGAACUUCCUUCAGGGAUGUGAAAUCUCCUCCCCGCCCCCCAUCUUCCCCAUUUCCCGUAUAACCGUUCCCUGUGUUGAUGACAAACGGAAUUACUGAAUAUUUAGGAUGGUCAUGAUUUUGUCCGUGGACCUCUGAUCCCUUUCCUCGCUCUCGCCCUCGGCUCUACUCACGGUUAUGUUAUCGGUCAACAGAAACAAAAUCAGACUGUAGCUCCUGGCUGCGCUUCUCAAGCUGUGCCAAGCGUUUUACUAGCACUUUCCGUGCCCCUGCGGAAGCACGAACUUUUCAGGCGCUCGAAAGGCCCCCAUUGCCUCCCCUGGGGUCGCUCGCCAGGGCGCCGCGGGCGCACCCAGCUCUGGGAACGCGGCCCGCCCUCGCCGGGGUAUUCAAAUCGGGGUGGGCAGCGGCGCGGGGCGCAGCUGCCGGCUUCCUGGUGGGCCGUGCCGGGGCCCGGGGCGGGCCGCCGCCUCCAGCCCGCGCGCUGCCCUCUCCUCGGACGGGACGCGAGCGACACCCUACCCGGCGCGGGAAGCGAGGGGCCCGGGGAAUCCCAGCUUCCUUUCCCAUCAAACUCACGUUCUCUCAAACCUGCUGAUCUCAGAGAGUUGUCAACAGAAAAACCAACUAUUCAAGCCUAAAGUAAACCAGGAAGGUCGAAGUGUUCCAGGAACAUCGAACCACAUAGUCCCUCCAUCUGAGCACAGAACUAUGAAGGGAGUGAGAAAUGUACCUAGUGUUCUCAAGAGCUAAAAAUAAGGAGGGAGUAACUAAACUGCUUAUGUGAAAAAAAUCAUGAGGCCGGUAUCCAAAGAAGAGUCUCAAACUUUCUUCAACAUGGAUAGUCCACCUUUUGCUCCCACCGAAUUACUAAAACAAUUUACAAAUUGAUUCACAAAUUAACUUCUAACGGUCAUGUUUUAAAGCCUCACGUUAGUCCUGAUAUUACACGGUGGACGCGUUCUCUUAUUGACCCUUGAACAUUGGCAUUCCCAGAGUUCUACUCAUCGUCUCCUAUCCUCACUCUUCUCCAGAGUUCUCAAAACGGAAGCCCGCAGACUGGGUUCUUUUGAAAAAUGGGAAGAUCUGACAACACCAGACCAGCCUUUACGUCUAUCAAUAAUUACCUGCAACUAAACAGAGGUUGCUCCCUAGAGACCGGAUGUUUGCUCUCCUGUUGCUAUAGUCCUCACCACUCCCUACUGCCUUAAAUCCCUGGCCCACCCCCUUAAUUCAUUUACAUGAGUGAGCACUUGCAAAGGCUCCUCAUAUACCUACACUGUGUAAUCCCAUCCUUACUUGUGGUUUCAGCUACCUCACCCUAAAUUUCUAAUGGAGAACACGUUUUGGAACACUAUAUGAUCUCUCAGUUCCCCUUAGAUUACUGUAGGUGCCUCACUCUCAACAUGUCCAAAACCAAACACAUUAUUUUUUCUCAUUAACCACCAAAUUUUCCCCUUCUGUAGUCCCUAUACAGUUAAUAGUGUCACCAUCUGUGAUGGUCAGUUUUACGUGUCAACUUGUCUAGGCUAUAGUAUCCAAUUAUUCAAAUAAACGCUAAUCUAGGUUUUGCUGAAAAGAUGUUUUGUAGGUGUGGUUGGCAUCUACCAUCAGUUGACCUUAAGUAAAGGAGCUUAUCUUUGCUAAUCUGAGUGGGCCUCAUUCAAUCAGUUGCAAAGCGUUAAGAGCAAAACUGAGACUUUCCUGAAGACAAAGCAAAUUCAGCCUCAAGAUAGCAGCGUCAGCUCCUGCCCGAGGGCUUACAGCCCAUGGGCCUUCCCUACAUACUUCAGAGUUACCGACACCCACAGUCCCACUGGUUCCGUUACUCUGGAGAACCCUGACUGAUAUCUCAUUUAUUUAAGCAGCCAUGCUGAGAAUCUAAGAGACUUCCUCAACACUUUCUCCUCCUUAUGGCUUUCAUCCAGUCAUACCUCUUUAAAAUAGUCUUCAAAAUAACGAUCAGAUGUCCUCUUGUAGUUCUAUAACUCUGUCCCUACUGUCUAGAGAUCAAAGUCCAAACUCCUAAGUAGGGUACACAUGGCUGUUCAUUUCCUGGUCUCUGGCUACUUUUCCAGACUCAUUUCUUGCUGUCCUACCCUCUUCCCUUGUACCUACCAUCUGAACGGAAAUGCUUCCAUAUUUUGGAAGACCCCCUCAUA